ensembl:lncRNA
UUCUCACACAAUUUGGAAGGAAUUGAUCUACCAUCUGAGGAAAAUAGACAGCUUAACUCAGAAAUUAUGGCUAAUAUAUAAUGGAAGUUUCUAUAUCUUCUCAUACAAUUUGGAGGGACUUAAUCUACCAUUUGAGGAAAAUAGGUUCUUUGCUCUAACUCAGGUAAAAUUGAGUCACCUCUGUUUGCAGAGGAAAUGGGUGCAGCCAACCACUCCAUGGUGUCUGAGUUUGUGUUCCU